rnacentral:rRNA from 1 species
GGGAGGCAGCAGUAGGGAAUAUUGGACAAUGGGCGCAAGCCUGAUCCAGCCAUACCGCGUGGGUGAAGAAGGCCUUCGGGUUGUAAAGCCCUUUUGUUGGGAAAGAAAAGCAGUCGAUUAAUACUCGGUUGUUCUGACGGUACCCAAAGAAUAAGCACCGGCUAACUUCGUGCCAGCAGCCGCGGUAAUACGAAGGGUGCAAGCGUUACUCGGAAUUACUGGGCGUAAAGCGUGCGUAGGUGGUUGUUUAAGUCUGUUGUGAAAGCCCUGGGCUCAACCUGGGAAUUGCAGUGGAUACUGGGCGACUAGAGUGUGGUAGAGGGUAGUGGAAUUCCCGGUGUAGCAGUGAAAUGCGUAGAGAUCGGGAGGAACAUCCAUGGCGAAGGCAGCUACCUGGACCAACACUGACACUGAGGCACGAAAGCAUGGGGAGCGAACAGGA